GGCUCGGUGUUCCGGGCGGCGGCUGCGGAAGGACUUCUGGCCGCCCCAGAGGCGCGGCGCCGGCCCUGGAGCGGCUUGUUCCGGAUCUUGAAGCGGGAGGGGCCUCGAGAGAAGGAGGAGGAGGUGACUGGGCCACUAGUUGCAUGAACCACACAGCCCUCUUUUGCAGUGGGGGUGAGUCAUUUGUCUGCGCUGGAUUCCUUGCUGAAUCACAAGGCCAGGGUGGAUAUUGCUGAUAAGGAGGAGAGCACUACCGUGCCCCUUGAAUGAAAGUAGAGUCAUGGCCCUGUGGUUCCAGUGCUGCUAAUCCCGUGGCAAGAAAUAAAUGUGACCAGUAAGAACGCUGGGGUUGUCCCCUCAAUUGUGAAUUCAGUCUUUCCAAUAAUGGAAAAUCCCUGAGAACUCUAGGGAAGACCGAGACGCAGUCUGUUGCAGUGGUGAAGGCCACGUGUUCUGCUGUGAACUCCAGCGCUGAUGGCUGUGUGAUCAUGAGCAAGUCCUGCAGCCUCAUGGUGCCCAUGUUCUCACUUGGUAACUACAAAAGAAAGUGUCUAUGCCAAAGGGCUGUUGUGGGCUUAGCUCUUUGCAGUUCAUUUUCUUCCACAAACACUUCCUUGUCUCUAAUGGAAAUACUGAGGGAGACUGGAAAAAAUUUUGAGUAUUCAUAGGAAGCCUCUAGGGGUAAAAUGAAGAGAAAGAUAACUAGUUUUGGAUCUCCCUUUUCCUACUCCCAACAAUGGUUUCACAUUAGCAACAGCUGUAGACCCAGUACCAGGAGGAAACGUAACGUGAGCAGAGGAAGUGGAAGCAACCCCAGCAGAAGUGAGGGAAGCGGCAGAGGGGAAGGCAGCAGAGCUGGUGACUCCCAUGGCUGCUGCUGGCGGGGUCAGUGGCCGAGCCCCAGAUGAGGGCAGUGGAGCACCUGAAGGGUCCAAAUGAGCAGAAUGUUCUUUUCCUUGAACACCAGGACCAUAGUCUUCCUUUCUAACAUUUGUGAAGUCUGUCCCUAUAAAUCACAAAUUAAUUCCAUUAAAAUUCCUCUAAGAUAAGAUUACUUUUAUUUCCCUAACAAUGAAAAUAAAUAACAGCUAAAAUUUGGUCAUAAAAGAAUGUAAAAAUUUGUCACUUAUUGGAUAAAUUCAAUUAAUUCAUUUGUCAGUAUUAUCUGAUUAAUGUCAGUAUUAACUACUAAAGAUUUCAGAGCACUUCCCUCAACAUGUUAAAGCUAAUGAAUGAUUUACAUUUAUGAAAAAGAUAAAAAAUAAAUUGUAUACUCAACGUGCACUGCCAUCACAACCAUUACAAUAACAUCAUCACCCUGAACCCAAGGAUUUAUAUUUUUUAGUUAUUUCAUGCAAUUAUUCUGACCAAUGGCCCUGUAUUUAGAUCUUCAGAAUUAUUUUCUGAUACUGUCUACCUUACCUUCUCAUUCUAUAUAUUGCACCUAUCCUAACUAAAACAUUAUGUUUUUAUUCUUGAUUUUUCAGCAAACAAUAAUAUAUCAAUAAAUAACAUGAAAAUCUUUACUUUUGGCAGUCAAAAGAACUAAGUUUUGCAGACGGAUUAUAUAAGUCAUGAAUUAAGAGCACAUUUGCACACUUAUCAAUUUUAGUGACACACAUAUAGUAACCUUCUCUCAAAACUGAACCUUCAUCUGAGAUCAAAGGAGUGAAUAAUACUAGCUUCCAGAAGCUAUGGCAAAGGGUUUCUUCAAAAUUUAGAUAUCUGGCCCCCAAGUAUUAGAAUUUGGUUAAAAUUUCCAUAUAAGACUAUACAGUAUAUGUGAUACCAAACACUAGGAUGAGGGUUUGGAAAUUCAGUCUGAACUCUUUUCAGAAUAUCUGAACAGAGGGCAGCAUAUAUCCCCAUGUUUACAUGGUUUUUCUAUGUUGUCCUCUUUUCAUCCAGAAAUUUAGGCUUCUGUUUAAGUCUUUCUCUUAGACUAUCUUUUAUGUAAAACAGAGUAAGUUAUCUAAUUAACAGAGUAUAAUGAGGAUUGUAAUGCGCAGGUCUUUUGAAAUCCACUGAUGACAGGAAUUCACUAAAAAAUACUGCUUUUGCUUUGAAAACAGAAUUCUCUGAGAACAAAGCACAAAGCUACUCAAAACAGUUAGGUUUCUAGAACCUGGCGUUAGCUGCACAUAAUAAUAGACUUAAAAGCAACCAGAACAAAAUAAAUUACAUUGUGUUAUCAGAAUACAUGUUCUUCAUAACCUGUUAUGGGUAUUUGUCUGGAGGAGACACAAAUAAAAUUUAUUUGAAUUUAAAAUUUAAAAUGGUAAAUAUAUUAAGGUGGUAAAACACUGUGUCCCAAGCACAGGUCUUUUAUAAUUGAAUGUAGGUGGCUCCAAUGAUAAUAAUUUAUUACUUUAUAAUAAAGUGUCUGCUAAAAAGUGAUAAUUAAAUCCUCCAAUUUAAUACAUACAACUUGCUAACUGAAUGACAAUUCUAUCAUUGGAGGUGGUGAGUUUAUUUUCAUUGUUGACACUCAAUUAAAAGACCAUUUACUAGAGUAUUAGGAAGAUAAACUAUUCAGCCUUGAGGUUUUAUGAUCCUAAUUUUUAAUGUGAAUGUAGGCCACACACCAUGACUGCUUCAGAAAGAACAAGAUUUGACUUAACUCACAAUUUACAUGGCUUGUAUAAUGUUUGUUGAUUCUUUAAAAUGAAGGCAUGGCAAGCACACAGAAUUUAUUUACUGUAUAGAAAUCAUAUUAAUUUAUAAAACGAAAUUGUCACUGAUAAACUGAAAGUCUCAAAUAAGGUUUACUAAUAGGGAAUACUGAACAAUGUUCACAAACUUACAAGAAAGUUAAGAAGCUGACUUGACUAAAGAUCACAGUUACAUCAUGAUUUUCAUCUUACAUGUUAAAGUAUUUUGUGUCUAUUAAAGAGCUUUCAAUAUUUUAUUGCAUGAGAACUCCCUAUGAAGCAAGUAAGGGUGAUUUAUAUUAUCUUCUUUGUUCAGAGAAAAAAAUUAAAACCCAUCAGGAAAACAGGCCUCACUAUAAAUUGGUGGCAAAAGAUUCUAAUCCUGUGCUAUUUUAAGCUACAGUGACAAAACUUAUGAUAUGAACUACUCAGAUUUCAGCCAAGCACAGACAUUUCUUGAAAUAAAAUUACUUGAUUUCUACAGAUAGGCCUAUAUUUGUAUCUGCUGAAAAUGAGUUUUAGUGGAGGCUUUCUUAACUGGAACACAAUAAUUUUUUUAAACAGGACAUGUAUGACUAGAUAAGGAAUAUUUAAUCAACAAAAUACUCAAGGAACUUGGCUACUUUCAAUUUAGUUGAUCAGCUCUUAGAUGACUAAACAAAUUUACAUGGUAGAUUUAAAACUGUGUAUGACACUGUGGAAAUAAAAAUACCAGUGCUGUAUAAGACAUACCUAUCACACAAAAUUAGUACUGCAGACCACGCAAUCACUGAAAUUUCAAAUUCUUUUUGAAAGAAGGCAAAGACUUAAGGAAAAUAGUAACCUGCAUCAACUCUGUUUUGAAAUAUAGUCAUAGCUUCAAGAUUUAAUGCACAUACACCCCUCAUGAAAGCUUUCUUCAUGGAAUCUUCAAAGAGCUCUUUUUCAUGUUGCAUUCUUUGGAUCUCAGCUUUUGCAUUUUCCAAAGCACCAGAUAACUAAAAUAAGAAUUUAAAUAGAGAUUAAGGUUUUGAGACACAGGAAGACUAAUUUUUAUUGUUUAAAAAUAACGAAACAGGACCUCCCUGGGGGCAUAGCGGUUAAGUCUCAGCCCUAUCGCCGUUGCCACCUGAGUUCAAUCCCUUAGCAAAGGAGACCUCUCAGUCUCACCCGCUGCUUUCCUUAGCAGCAUAUUUCUGUAGAUCCACCUGUCCUGCUCCCCACUCUAUCUCUGGUGAAUCCUCUCAUACCCCCUGUCAACCUCUGGUCUACACGCCAGUUCUUACAUGUAAAAAUAAAUAAAAUUAAAUAAACCCAAACAACUAAAUGCCUGCAAUAUUAACAGAAUGUUUAAAAACUAAAUGUUACCUAUUGAAUUAAAGUAGAAAGUGAUAUAAAGUAUAAUACACUUUUCACAGACCAGAUCUAAAGUUACUGCAUUUUUUGCAUGCCAUUUUGAAAUGCAGAAAAAUAUUUAUACAAGAAAACAUUUUUAACAUUAAAUACUUUGUGUUAUAAUCAAGUUGGCAGGGCAGAAAAGAGGUACAAUAUAAGGGGGUGGUAUUUGAGAAGAUGACAUUUAAGCAGAGAUUUGGGGGACCUACGGGAGUGAGCCACAUGUAUCUAAGGAAGGUAUGUUCAGAUAGGAGCUUUAAUUAAAGGUGAGUUUUAUUAAAAAAAAAAAAGAACUUUGUGCUAUAAUGAUGAAAUUUUUUUUCCUUUUAGUAUUUGGCUUCAAAAGACCCACUGCAUUCUUCUCAGUAUGGUUUUCAUUUCAUUAUGGGUCUUGAAUGCUUUCCCAUGGAAACAAUGUUGAUAUUAUUAAAAGUCAAUGGGAAAGUAAUUUUAAUUUCUGUACAACUGCUUUAUGUCAACCUUGUAAGAACAUAGUUUCUUUAAAUUUAAGUAUUUUUGGUU